rnacentral:tRNA from 1 species
GGGGCUGUAGCUCAGUGGUAGAGCACCUGCCUCGCAUGUGUGAGGUAAUGGGUUCGAGCCUCAGCGCCA